UCUCUCUCUCUCUCGCUCUACAUCUCCCUUCUCUCUCUCUCUGUUCUCUCCCUCCCUCUCUCUCUCUGGUUCUUGUCUGACACAGGUCACUGAGCUCUGAGCCCGUCUGACUGUGACACAUUAACAUUGGUUCUUGUCUGACACAGGUCUGAGCUCUGAGCCCGUCUGACUGUGAUACAUUAACAUUGGUUCUUGUCUGACACAGGUCACUGAGCUCUGAGCCCGUCUGACUGUGAUACAUUAACAUUGGUUCUUGUCUGACACAGGUCACUGAGCUCUGAGCCCGUCUGACUGUGAUACAUUAACAUUGGUUAUUGUCUUACACAGGUCACUGAGCUCUGAGCCCGUCUGACUGUGAUACAUUAACAUUGGUUCUUGUCUGACACAGGUCACUGAGCUCUGAGCCCGUCUGACUGUGAUACAUUAACAUUGGUUCUUGUCUGACACAGGUCACUGAGCUCUGAGCCCGUCUGACUGUGAUACAUUAACAUUGGUUCUUGUCUGACACAGGUCACUGAGCUCUGAGCCCGUCUGACUGUGAUACAUUAACAUUGGUUCUUGUCUGACACAGGUCACUGAGCUCUGAGCCCGUCUGACUGUGAUACAUUAACAUUGGUUCUUGUCUGACACAGGUCACUGAGCUCUGAGCCCGUCUGACUGUGAUACAUUAACAUUGGUUCUUGUCUGACACAGGUCACUGAGCUCUGAGCCCGUCUGACUGUGAUACAUUAACAUUGACUGGAGGAGCAGGGAGAACACACUGACGCGUGCAUGCAUACGCCCGUGUAUACGUUAGCUCCUGUGUGUGUGUGUGUGUGUAUGUGUGUGUGUGUGUGUGUGUGUGUGUGUGUGUGUGUGUGUGUGUGUGUGUGUGUGUGUGUGUGUGUCCACUAUUCUCCACUGUGUGUAUCAGUGCCUUAGAACAGACCACGAUGCUGAUGUUGUGUAUAGGUUGGCUCCUGUGUGUGUGUGUGUGUGUGUGUGUG